AGAGUUUGAUCCUGGCUCAGAGCGAACGCUGGCGGCAGGCUUAACACAUGCAAGUCGAACGGGCGUAGCAAUACGUCAGUGGCAGACGGGUGAGUAACGCGUGGGAACAUACCUCUUGGUUCGGAACAACACAGGGNAAACUUGUGCUAAUACCGGAUAAGCCCUUACGGGGAAAGAUUUAUCGCCGAGAGAUUGGCCCGCGUCUGAUUAGCUAGUUGGUAGGGUAAUGGCCUACCAAGGCGACGAUCAGUAGCUGGUCUGAGAGGAUGAUCAGCCACAUUGGGACUGAGACACGGCCCAAACUCCUACGGGAGGCAGCAGUGGGGAAUAUUGGACAAUGGGCGCAAGCCUGAUCCAGCCAUGCCGCGUGAGUGAUGAAGGCCCUAGGGUUGUAAAGCUCUUUUGUACGGGAAGAUAAUGACGGUACCGUAAGAAUAAGCCCCGGCUAACUUCGUGCCAGCAGCCGCGGUAAUACGAAGGGGGCUAGCGUUGCUCGGAAUCACUGGGCGUAAAGGGUGCGUAGGCGGGUUUUUAAGUCAGAGGUGAAAUCCUGGAGCUCAACUCCAGAACUGCCUUUGAUACUGAAAGUCUUGAGUAUGGGAGAGGUGAGUGGGAACUGCGAAGUGUAGAGGUGAGAUUCGUUAGAUAUUCGCAAGAACACCAGGUGGCGGAAGGCGGCUCACUGGCCCAUAACUGACG
rnacentral:rRNA from 1 species